AUCCUGACCUGCUUCUGACAUCCAAGACUUCCAGGUGUAUGAAGGACAAAAGUUGAUCUAACUGCCCUCGGAUGUGGCUCGGUGGGAGGACGCUUGACCAGCAGACUGCCAGGUCUGCUACCAUUCUCUGAUGAAAGUUGGGGGCUCAGACAGAAGCCGGUUCUGAAGAGGGCAAAGAAAACUAUAUGGGCUAUAUGGUUUGAGAAGAGGAGAAAAGCCCAAGGCAGGGAUUCCUUGCCUAGGAAAGGAAGAGAAAGCUGGCUAGUGCAGCAUUUGACGAUGGUGGAAGAAAGCUGCACCUACUUUCAUGAAAUAAAUGGACCUGGACCCACAGCCCCUAUGGUAGUGGCUUGGCAGCUGAACAAAGGCGGCAGCGUUCCUACAUCCAGUUUGUAAAGCCUCAGAAGUUGCAGGCUCCAACUGUUUUUUUUUUUUUUUCCUUUUUCAAGGAACCCAUGUCAACUAUAAUGAGCGCAUUUUCGAUGUUGUGCUGAAAGCUGGCAAUGGAUGAAGCAAGAACAUAAAAGAAGCCUAUGUCCAAGGCAAAUAUUUCCUUUACAAACCUUAAGAAUGAAGUGGCCUUCAUAAUCAAUUUUAAGAUCAAAUGCCUGGGCUGAAGUACCUGGUUCUGGCACUCAUUAGCUAUAAUUUGGGACAAUUAAUUUAUCUCUGAACAGUUGCUUUCUCAACUGAAAAAUGGGGCUAAUACCUGCCCAAGUUUU
rnacentral:lncRNA from 1 species